rnacentral:rRNA from 1 species
UACGUAGGGGGCGAGCGUUAUCCGGAUUCAUUGGGCGUAAAGCGCGCGUAGGCGGCCUGCUAGGUCGGGACUCAAAUCCGGGGGCUCAACCCCCGCCCGGUCCCGAUACCGACAGGCUUGAGUCUGGUAGGGGAAGGCGGAAUUCCAAGUGUAGCGGUGGAAUGCGCAGAUAUUUGGAAGAACACCGGUGGCGAAGGCGGCCUUCUGGACCACGACUGACGCUGAGGCGCGAAAGCUAGGGGAGCGAACAGGAUUAGAUACCCUGGUAGUCCCUGAGCGGGCU